AUUGAACGCUGGCGGCAUGCUUUACACAUGCAAGUCGAACGGUAACAGGGUGCUUGCACCGCUGACGAGUGGCGAACGGGUGAGUAAUGCGUCGGAACGCACCGAGUAAUGGGGGAUAACGCAGCGAAAGCUGUGCUAAUACCGCAUACGCUCUGAGGAGGAAAGCGGGGGACCUUCGGGCCUCGCGUUAUUCGAGCGGCCGACGUCUGAUUAGCUAGUAGGUGAGGUAAGAGCUCACCUAGGCGACGAUCAGUAGCGGGUCUGAGAGGACGGUCCGCGACACUGGGAAUGAGACACAGCCCAGACGCCGACGGGAGGAAGCAGUGGGGAAUAUUGGACAAUGGUGGGAACCCUGAUCCAGCCAUACCGCGUGUGUGAAGCAGGCCUUAUUGUUGUAAAGCACUUUAAGCGAGGAGGAGUCUACUUUAGUUAAUACCUAGAGAUAGUGGACGUUACUCGCAGAAUAAGCACCGGCUAACUCUGUGCCAGCCGCCGCCGUAA
rnacentral:rRNA from 1 species